ACUUUCCACUUCCAGUCAUCUCUCUGGCUUUCUCUCUGUCAUACAUACGCUGUGUGCGCUGUCUUCCGUCUGUCUCCGUUUUUGCCGGCCGUACAACGAAGGAGAGGGGGUCCGCUCUCCUCUGCUCUAACGCCGCAACGCCACACACAAAUUCAGCCCGCACAGGAGCAACGAAGCUCUAGAAAUAAUGGCGGGUUUCUAGCCAUGGAAUCUGAAAGUUAGCGAGAGAGUGAGAUAUUAUCAUGGGGAAGCGGAAGAGAAGACCUGGACACAGGAAAUCUCUUGUUUCUUCUGACAUCAUGCCCUGCUCCCUUGGGAUGGAUUCGUUGUCAGAAGAGAAGUCUUCUUCCACUGCUCCUUCAGUUGAUUCUGGUUCCUCAAAUUCUCUCAAAUCGAUUAUGGAUACCAUAGAUAGUUCUAUGAAGAAGAUAAAUACUCACCCAUCACUUGCACAAUACCGUUAUAAUCUCAGUCGCUCAAUGCUUCUGAGACGUUCACUAAAUAACUAUGGUCAUCACUACUCCCGGCGGAGCACGGGUAGCCAUGCUGAUAGAAUUAGCUCACUUUGCAAGAGUGCUUCUGCCAUAGAUGAGAGAUACUCUAUGAAGUUAGGUAGCAGAUGCAACUCAGAGUCUGGAUAUCAUUCAGAGAGAAAGGUUUUCCAGAGGCCUGAAAGAAUAAGGUCAAAUCCAUUGGUAAUUGAUACAACAGCCACUGAUGUAGUUAGGAUGGUAUGUGGGUUAUGUAUGAAGCUGCUGAGACAUAAAUCCUUUGGCUUGGGAAGCACCUUGUCAUCUAGUGGCCUCUCUGUUGUGGCAGUUUUAGUUUGUGGUCAUGUUUAUCAUGCACACUGCUUGGAGCAGAGAACAUCUGAGGAAGAUAAACGAGAUCCCCCCUGUCCAUUAUGCAUUGACUUGUCUAAUGCCUCAAGAGGCAAGAACUGAUGGGAGUCAACUUUUUAUUAUGAAAACUAGUUAUUAAGGCCAUAUUGAAACGGACAGUGUAGGUGCUUCAUAUUUCAUGCAGAAGGGUUUUUGCAGGGUAGUAUAUUGGCAGCACAUUAUUUCCAAUAUUUGACUGUUAUGGUGCUAUCUAUUGUGAUUCCAUUUUUUGUUACUUCGAGCAAAUAUUUCAAGAUAUUAAAGGGAACAGCGUAGUAGGAACAUGCUCAUCAUGAGUAAAAUGCUCCGGAAGCACCACAUCCCUAGUUGCAUGGCUACCUUUUGGAUGCAAAAGACCAGUAAAGAGCAUAUCAAUAGACAUUACUCUGGUUGCUUCAUCCUAAUCUUUUGUAAGGACACCAUAUUUGUAAAUUUGGUUAAUCCUGCAUGUGCCAAUACCCUUGAUGCUGAUUUCAUUGUAAGAUAUGGAAACAAUACAUAUAAUCCACAUCAAUUUGCUAUUACAGUCAUCAGGUUUAUUUAUCUGAAUUUUGCUGCUCCAUCCAUCUAAGACUUAAAUGUAAUAGUUAGCAACUCUGUAACUGAAAUAAAUUGAGUUAAUGCAA